rnacentral:rRNA from 1 species
UACGUAGGGGCAAGCGUUGUCCGGAAUCACUGGGCGUAAAGCGCGCGCAGGCGGCGAUCUGCGUCUGGGGUGAAAGCCCGGAGCUCAACUCCGGGACUGCCUUGGAUACGGGGUCGCUUGAGGAUCGGAGAGGCAAGGGGAAUUCCACGUGUAGCGGUGAAAUGCGUAGAGAUGUGGAGGAACACCGGUGGCGAAGGCGGCCUUCUGGACGGUGACUGACGCUGAGACGCGAAGCGUGGGAGCAAACAGG